AUCCCGAUCCCAAGCACCAUGGAGCCGACGAUUUGGAUCAAGACCUACAUCCCAAGCACCAAGGUGCCUGGUUGAUAUGGAUCGCGAUCCCGAUCUGGAGCUCCAGGGCGCCGAGGAUUUCGAUCACGAUCCCGAUCUGAAGCACCGAGUAGCCGAGGAUAUGGAUCAAGACCCCGGUCCGAAGCGACAAGGAGGCAAGGAUUUGGAUCACCACUCCGAUCAAAGGCACCAAGGCGUCGAGGGAUUGGAUCGAGAUCCCGAUCCCAAUCAUGAAGUUGGCUAUGUAAUUUCCUGUUUUCCACACCGUUCAGGGCAUUUUGGUGGUCGUAUCGGCUUUUAGUUGCUUGCUUGGUGUUAGUGCCAAGGGAGGGGUUGGAAGCUAGGUCGUCCUCUGGAAUGCUUGUUGUAAAGGUGUAUGAGUUGUGUUUGGCUUGUUACGGGUGUUUGUUGGCUGCUUGUGCAGGAACUUUCAUGCGUCCAAGCCUCUUCAGUUGUGCUACAAGGCCUUGUUUGUCUUGUGCAUACGGUGGGUUUCCUGUGUUGCAUACCUAAUCAAGAGCAUCGUAUGGCUUAAUCGAAGUAAAUAUUCGUAAUGCGCCGCUUGCGGCGUUGCACGAACCUCGAAGUGGUCUCUGUGGCCCAUGUUGUCUAUGCUCACGUAUGGAUGGCAUGGCCCUCGGAGCGUCGCUUGGUCUCUUGGAUACGGAACCUGAUGAUGUGGGCGGUAGGGUCUUGGAUGAUUCUACCUUCGC
rnacentral:misc_RNA from 1 species